AACGCUUGCGGCUAUGCCUCGAAACAUGCAUUUCGAACGCGAAAAUAGGUUCGCCUACUAUUUUCGGUGGCGCACGGGGUGCGUAACACGUAACUAACGUACCCUCUCGCUGGGGAUAACUUCUGGAAACCGAAGCUAAUACCGAAUAAUCUGUUGUGGUCUGCGGACUACACCGGUAAAGCCUUCGGGCGCGAGAGGAUCGGGUUGCGUCCCAUUAGCUAGUUGGCGGGGUAAUGGCCCACCAAGGCUACGAUGGGUAGCUGGUCUGAGAGGAUGAUCAGCCACACUGGAACUGAAACACGGUCCAGACUCCCACGGGAGGCAGCAGUUGGGAAUAUUGGACAAUGGGCGAAAGCCUGAUCCAGCGACGCCGCGUGGGUGAUGAAGGCCUUCGGGUCGUAAAGCCCUGUCUGGGGGGACGAAUCUCCCGCUGGCGAGCAACCAGCGGGAAUGACGGUACCCCCGAAGGAAGCACCGGCUAACUCUGUGCCAGCAGCCGCGGUAAAACAGAAGGUGCGAGCGUUGUUCGGAAUUACUGGGGCGUAAAGGCGCGUAAGCGGCCUGCUAAAUUCGGUGUGAAGACCCUCGGCUCACCCGAGGAAAUGCCCCCGAUACUGGCAAGCUGGAAUACCGAAAAGAAGGUGGAAUUUCUGGUGUA
rnacentral:rRNA from 1 species